UACGUAGGGUGCAAGCGUUGUCCGGAAUCACUGGGCGUAAAGGGCGCGUAGGCGGCGGUUCAAGUCGGGGGUGAAAGCCUGUGGCUCAACCACAGAAUGGCCUUCGAUACUGGACGGCUCGAGACCGGAAGAGGUCAGUGGAACUGCGAGUGUAGAGGUGAAAUUCGUAGAUAUCGGGAGGAACACCGGUGGCGAAGGCGGCGACCUGGGUCGAGACUGACGCUGAGGCGCGAAAGCGUGGGGAGCAAACAGG
rnacentral:rRNA from 1 species